rnacentral:rRNA from 1 species
AACGGCCAUUGAUACUGCAGGACUUGAAUUACUGGGAAGUAACUAGAAUAUGUAGUGUAGCGGUGAAAUGCUUAGAGAUUACAUGGAAUACCAAUUGCGAAGGCAGGUUACUACCGGUGGAUUGACGCUGAUGGACGAAAGCGUGGGUAGCGAACAGGAUUAGAUACCCUGGUAGUCCACGCCGUAAACGAUGGAUACUAGCUGUUGGGGGCAACUUCAGUGGCUAAGCGAAAGUGAUAAGUAUCCCACCUGGGGAGUACGUUCGCAAGAAUGAAACUCAAA